GCCAUUCCUAACCGCCUCAGGCCCCUUCCUUUUCCCCCUCAGCCGCUUAAGCGGCUGAGGGGGAAAAGGAAGGGGCCUGAGGCGGUUAGGAAUGGCGGGAGUUGGAGUCCAAAACACUUGGGAGGGCCCAACUUGGCCCCAAACCUGAUAUAGAUGCCAUUUUCCUUGCCUAAGAAUGCCUCUUUCUGUCUUCUUCUUCUCCUCCUGGUGAUCCCAGGCGUCCGGGCAGCCCAACCUGCUGCAAGGGAAGGCAAGCAGGAAGGUAGCAAAGCAGGCCUGGGAGGAGGAGGAGGAGGAGGAAAGCCAUGCGCGCGGGCACGCGGGGGGAAAGCCCGGGGCUCACACCGCCUCCCCACGUGCGCCUGCCUCUCUCCAUCUCCCCGCCCCGCGCCCGGCCCAGGAUCCGCCUGCCUGCCAGCUGCCGAGGCCCCGCGACAUGUGCGCCACGAAGCAGGGCCAGGCACGUGAGAGGAGGAGAGAGAGAGGGAGAGAACGCGAGCGAGCCAGGGAGGCUCCGUGCGCAGACACGAGACCCGGCCGGCGCCUCCCCAAAGCGGGCCCCACACAGCAAGGGAGAAAGAGAGAGAGCAAAAGCGCCCGCCCGAGCGGGGUUUCCGCGCCCCGCCGGGCAACGACAACCACAACAACAAGAGGAUUGCCAAAAAGAACACAGAGAGAAGGUGAACGGUGUAUACCUGGUACAAAUAUGCAAUUAUUUCAACAGCAAGAACACAAAUAGAAACCAGGGUGGUGACUUUCAGGCACAAUCUUUCUGAUAGUCAAAAGAAGGCUACUAUUAUCCCUGCAACCUGAAGUUGGGAUUGAAACCACCAAUUCUCUCUGCAAUCAAGUAGGUGGCACAAAAACACAGCCCGAGUUCCUUGUAACCAGAGAGAAAAGUCCUCUUUCCUUGUAUCCUGGGUGGUGAUGUCAAACCAGUUUCCUAGAUUUGACACUUUGGAGUAAACAAUGGAUAGUCUGCAUAAUUUGAUCUGAGGUUUUUAUUUUUAUUCAAAAUCUGAAAUUUUGACAAGGAACAAACAACGAGCCAAGGAAAGUAGAUAUACAGCCAUCAGCGCUUUCAGCAACUAGAGGAGUAUAUUUAACCCUUUCCGUUCUCACUACGCCGUUUUUCUUCCCAUGCAUUGCUAACAUUGCAAGAAAAAGGCCCCCAAGGAAGGACAAUUUGGAGUACAAAAAGGAUUUGGAACACACAAAUGGCCCUGCAUGAAAAAUGUCAAACCAUCUUUUCACUCCUAGUACCCUUACACUCAAAAACUGCAACCUCCCAAAUCUGUUUUGUGUGUGUGUAAAAACAAGAACUACAAGUGCUAAGAGAGUGGUGAGCAAUAUAUGGUUAUACAGACAACCCUGAAUUGCGAGUCCAAAAACAACUCGAGAGCUACACGUUGUUCACCCACUCCUGAACUAAGGAGUUAGACCUUUCUCCUUGCAAUUUAUUAUUGUUACAGAUAUUACACAGAGACAAAUCAAGUGGGCCCACGUCAGAGGCUGAAGCUUCUUAAAGUCCCAGUCUUUGCAGGGUGAAUAGUUACUCUCAUAUAUCCGCAAUGCAUCCAUCUUUUUAGGAGCAUAUUUAGCACAUGUUGCACAGAUAUCUGAGAAACAUAAUGGGAAAAAGCUCAAAGAAAACAGACCUUUGAAGAACCACUUCCACCAAGCAAGAAAACCACUUUUCCCAUUGAUUCCAUGCCACCCUCCUGUUCAAGAUCUGGCGGAGCUCACCUGUUUUGCUGCAGUGGUUGUCGUAAUCGCUCCCCACUAGACCUUCUCCAGAGGAAGAGCAGACAGAAGACGACGACGCGCAAGAAGCAGGGCGGCUAAGGUCCACCACAACUCCGCUGGAAGGCGAGGCUGUAGGCUGGCUCCCCGGUGAAAAGGGUUGGUGGGCCGGGCUUGGGGGCAAACCAUUUUCCAGUAAAAAUUCGUCCAAGUCAACAUAUUCAAUCUCGUUGUAGGGCAGAGUGCGCUCCCAAAGGAGGGAGCCCAGGUACGCACAGUGCCCCGGCCGCGAAAUGCUGAGGUCAUCUUCCAUUUUGCGUUCCUUGUCUUUGAUAACACCUGCAAUGUGGCAUAAAAGGGGGAGAGUUGUCUUUAGAAACAAGACUGGAAAUGGGGAAAAUUUAAGCAUGUGACUGAAUAGAAACACCACAAAGAAGUUUGACGGAAAAUGAGAAUCUAGGGACUGGGGUGUAAUUAUUUGAUGAAGUAUGGGAAAUGUAUAAUUUGUUGGCUAUGGAAAUGGUAUAGCAGUUGGAAGCCAUCUUCAAAACCGCUGAUUUAAAUCUGUUUCUCCAGUAGGAAAGAGGGAUUCCAUGUUUAAUGUGCUCUUCACAUGAAUGUUUGUCACUGAAGACCAGAAUUGCUAUUAUUAAAUAAUAAUACAAUAUAUUGUAUGGAAUAAAACAGUACUACCUAAAACCAGUGUAUAUGAAGCAUAACUGAGAUGUAUGCAACUGUUUGCAGUCAGACAUGAGAAAGACAACAGCUCAAAGAAUGAAGAGGAAAAAGCAAGCAAUGAACACAGACAAAUCCAGCUACAAACAAUUCAUUAUAAUUUGGAAGCAGAACUGAAAGUUUAAGCCAGAGGAGAUUUCAUUUGCACAUCUGAAGAAAAAUAUGUUUAUGGAGAUCUGGAUAUGAUUUCACAACUGAUAAAUAGGUUUCCUUUAAUCUGGAAAUUAUCUUUCCAAAAGUGGAACUAUUAACUCCAACACACAUGACUCUUGCUGUUUCUGCAGACAGCCCCUCAUCCCACCUUUGUUUACAUGUAUACAUCCAUGUAGAAAGAAAUGCACAAUGGUGUUUUUCCUGACAGGGUUUUUCUUGCCACUAGUCACCUCAAGUCUUGCUAAGAGUGUAGUUGCAGGAAUCCAUGGAGAGAUGCCAGUGGUAUGUAAAAGCAUGUGCCAGUUAGCACUGUUCCACUAAGACUUGCAAGAGGCCAUUGUUAUGCGUCACUUCCAUGCUAACUGAAUAAAAGAGAUUAUUCAGAGUACCCGGUGAGACAGAUGCACAGAUUACUUGAUAGAUAGCUAAAGCCUUGAGAAGAUUGUAGAAUCUUUCCAGGGCUGCAUUAAAUCGCACAUCUGGGCAGCAAGGGGCUUUGAUCCCCAAAAAGCAAUGGACACCUCCCCUUCUUCCAGGAAAAGAAGAAAAAGAUUUAGGAAUCAAUGACUGGCAUAUUGUUAAAACUUGACAUUGUAAAGAUUUUUUGCACUUAUUUUGGUUUUGAGAAUGUCAGCUUUCUGAACCUCAGGUAAAAAGGCCACCUGAAAAUAAUCAUGCAAACCAAGAUUGGUCUUUGGUUGUGUCUGAUUUUCUUGGCUGCUAACUGCAAAUUAAAAAACACAAACCAUGAUA